GAUGAACGCUGGCGGCGUGCCUAAUACAUGCAAGUCGAGCGAACAGACCAUGCUCUUGCUCCUCUCACGUUAGCGGCGGACGGGUGAGUAACACGUGUAUAACCUCCCUGUAUUACUGGUAUCAUCUCGGGAAACCGGAGCUAAUCCCGGAUAAUAUCUUGAACCGCGUGGUUCAAUGGUGAAAGUCGGUUUUGCUGUCACUUCUCGAUGCAUCUGCGCGGCAUUAGCUAGUUGUUAAGGUAACGGCGUACCACGGCGACGAUGCGUAGCCGACGUGAGAGACUGAUCGCCCACACUGGAACUGAGACACGGUCCAGACUCCUAAGGGAGGCAGCAGUAGGGAAUGUGACGCAAUGGGCGAGAGCAUGACGGAGCGACGCGGAGCGAGUGGUGGUAGUCUUCGGAUCGUAAAACUCUGUUAUUAGGGAAAAACAAAUGUCUAAGUAACUAUGGACGGAUUGACGGUACCUAAUCAGAAAGCCACGGCUAACUACGUG
rnacentral:rRNA from 1 species